CUACGGGAUGCAGCAGGCGAGAAAACUUUGCAAUGUGCGAAAGCACGACAAGGUUAAUCCGAGUGGUUUGUGCUAAACGAACCUUUUGACAGUCCUAGAAACACUGUUGAAUAAGGGGUGGGCAAGUUCUGGUGUCAGCCGCCGCGGUAAAACCAGCACCUCAAGUGGUCAGGAUGAUUAUUGGGCCUAAAGCAUCCGUAGCCGGCUCUGUAAGUUUUCGGUUAAAUCUGUACGCUCAACGUACAGGCUGCCGGGAAUACUGCAGAGCUAGGGAGUGGGAGAGGUAGACGGUACUCGGUAGGAAGGGGUAAAAUCCUUUGAUCUAUUGAUGACCACCUGUGGCGAAGGCGGUCUACCAGAACACGUCCGACGGUGAGGGAUGAAAGCUGGGGGGGCAAACCGGAUUAGAUACCCCUGUAGUC
rnacentral:rRNA from 1 species